CCUACGGGUGGCAGCAGUGAGGAAUAUUGGUCAAUGGGCGCGAGCCUGAACCAGCCAAGUAGCGUGAAGGAUGACUGCCCUACGGGUUGUAAACUUCUUUUAUAAAGGCAUCAAGUGAGGCACGUGUGCCUUUUUGUAUUUACUUUAUGAAUAAGGAUCGGCUAACUCCGUGCCAGCAGCCGCGGUAAUACGGAGGAUCCGAGCGUUAUCCGGAUUUAUUGGGUUUAACGGGAGCGUAGAUGGGUUGUUAAGUCAGUUGUGAACGUUUGCGGCUCAACCGUAAAAUUGCAAUUGAUACUGGCAGUCUUGAGUACAGUUGAGGUAGGCGGAAUUCGUGGUGUAGCGGUGAAAGGCUUAGAUAUCACGGAGAACUCCGAGUGCGAAGGCAGCUUACUAAACUGCCACUGACAUUGAUGCUCGAAAGUGUGGGUAUCAAACAGGAUUAGAUACCCUUGUAGUC
rnacentral:rRNA from 1 species